GCAAGUCUCGCGACGUCCGGGAAGCGGGCAGCGCCUGCCCGGUGGCCAGCAGGGGUCUGGCUCUUUGUGACACCGGACAGAAGAGUUGAUACUGUGCACUAGUGGUCCCGAGACAAGGCCAGUUAGCUAGGACAGGACAAGAUUUGCAGGCCAUCAUUUCCCUCUCCAUCAUCUUUGAUUAUUUCGGUGUCCAGUAACCACACCUGCCCCAGAAUAGACCCAAAAAGGAAUUGCCUGAAGGUACAGUCAGUACUCCAUCUUUCUAGGAUAACCCCCAAAUUUAGGGUAAUAGUCAAGGCCAUUUAUCAUAACUCUCUUCGCAGCUUGCCGCUACCGUCCUCAGGUCAGGAUUCUCAGGGUCUCACAUACCCCAGGCUGGCCACAAGCUCCCCACCUAGUUAAGGAUGACCUUGAACUUCUGACCCCCCUGUUGGGAUUACAGGUUAUAAUGAAAGCAUUCCAGAAACACAGAAGAGACCUUGCAAACUCAAACUCAGCAGCCCGUGCUCAGUUAAGUUUAUUCAGCUACCCGUGGAUACAGUGCAGACUUGGGAAUAUAGAGGAACUCUUCUCUGAAUUCCUGCCUUGUGCAUCUGUACCUCGUCACUCACAGAACCAUUCUGGAAACGUUGAGCCUCAGUAACAUGCAGCACUUCAACUUCUAAA